UACGGAGGGUGCGAGCGUUAAUCGGAAUUACUGGGCGUAAAGCGUGCGUAGGCGGUUUAAUAAGUUAUAAAUGAAAUAGUUGGGCUCAACCUAAUUGCUGUUUAUAAGACUGUUAGACUUGAGUAUAGGAGAGGGUGGUGGAAUUUCCGGUGUAGCGGUGAAAUGCGUAGAGAUCGGAAGGAACACUGGUGGCGAAGGCGGCCACCUGGCCUAAUACUGACGCUGAGGUACGAAAGCAUGGGGAGCAAACAGG
rnacentral:rRNA from 1 species